rnacentral:rRNA from 1 species
AUUGAACGCUGGCGGCAGGCCUAACACAUGCAAGUCGAACGAGUGGCGGACGGGUGAGUAAUGUCUGGGAAACUGCCCGAUGGAGGGGGAUAACUACUGGAAACGGUAGCUAAUACCGCAUACCAUCGGAUGUGCCCAGAUGGGAUUAGCUUGUAGGUGGGGUAACGGCUCACCUAGGCGACGAUCCCUAGCUGGUCUGAGAGGAUGACCAGCCACACUGAAACGGAGACACGGUGCAGACUCCUAGGGGAGGCAGCAGUGGGGAAUAUUGCACAAGGGGCGCAAGCCUGAUGCAGCCAUGCCGCGUGUAUGAAGAAGGACUUCGGGUUGUAAAGUACUUGCAGAGAGGAGGCGUUGCGCGCAGAAGAAGCACCGGCUAACUCCGUGCCAGCCGCCGCGGUAAUUC